rnacentral:tRNA from 1 species
UGCGAGGUAGAGAAGUUGGCAUCUCGUCAGGCUCAUAACCUGAAAAUCGUGGGUUCGAGUCCCUCCUUCGCAA